rnacentral:tRNA from 1 species
AUUUAAAUAAUUUAAUAAAAAUAUUGAUUUGUGGUGUCAAAAUUAUGGUGAAUAUCAUUUUAAAUU